UACGAGAGGCCCGAGCGUUAUUCGGAAUCACUGGGCUUAAAGGGUGCGUAGGCGGCCAUGUAGGCGUCCUGUGAAAUCCCACGGCUCAACCGUGGAAUUGCGGGGCGAACCACAUGGCUUGAACCUGGUAGGGGCUGUCGGAACGAUCGGUGGAGCGGUGAAAUGCGUAGAUAUCGAUCGGAACGCCGAAGGUGAAGACGGGCAGCUGGGCCAGUGUUGACGCUGAGGCACGAAAGCGUGGGGAUCAAACAGG
rnacentral:rRNA from 1 species